UACCUUAGUCCCACCUUCAUCCUCAGCUC
rnacentral:piRNA from 1 species